rnacentral:lncRNA from 1 species
AUUUAAAUAAAUCUUUUAGUCCAAAAGUUUGCUUUCAUAAAUUACAUGUUUGCCUUCCUUUGAAGUAUUUAAAAUACAUAUAAACAACUCAUUUAAUCUGUUAAUGUCAUCUGUGUGUUUCCCGGAAGUUGUUAUAUUAUUAUCAUAUUUGUGACAACAACGCGUAAAACAUCGAAUGGUUAUUAUGUGCCUAUAGUAUACUUCUAGGACUGUAUCGCAUGCUCUUAGAUACAAAUGACAAAUUAUAAACUAUGUCACUCUGCAGAGUGAAACACUUAAUACGAACAAUGAUAUGUUUUAUGUAGCAGGGCUUAUAAAGGC